rnacentral:rRNA from 1 species
AAAACUGGAGAAGGUGGGGAUGACGUCCAAGUCUUCAUGGCCCUUACGAGUAGGGCUACACACGUGCUACAAUGGCAUAUACAAAGAGAAGCGACCUCGCGAGAGCAAGCGGACCUCAUAAAGUAUGUCGUAGUCCGGAUUGGAGUCUGCAACUCGACUCCAUGAAGUCGGAAUCGCUAGUAAUCGUAGAUCAGAAUGCUACGGUGAAUACGUUCCCGGGCCUUGUACACACCGCCCGUCACACCAUGGGAGUGGGUUGCAAAAGAAGUAGGUAGCUUAACCUUCGGGAGGGCGCUUACCACUUUGUGGUUCAU